rnacentral:miRNA from 1 species
UGCAGCAACAGCCAUUGGUCAU